GCAUGAUCGCAAGGACAUGUGGAGCGCUUAGAAGUGAGAAUGCCGGUGUGAGUAGCGAAAGACGGGUGAGAAUCCCGUCCACCGAUUGACUAAGGUUUCCAGAGGAAGGCUCGUCCGCUCUGGGUUAGUCGGGUCCUAAGCUGAGGCCGACAGGCGUAGGCGAUGGAUAACAGGUUGAUAUUCCUGUACCACCUAUAAUCGUUUUAAUCGAUGGGGGGACGCAGUAGGAUAGGCGAAGCGUGCGAUUGGAUUGCACGUCUAAGCAGUAAGGCUGAGUAUUAGGCAAAUCCGGUACUCGUUAAGGCUGAGCUGUGAUGGGGAGAAGACAUUGUGUCUUCGAGUCGUUGAUUUCACACUGCCGAGAAAAGCCUCUAGAUAGAAAAUAGGUGCCCGUACCGCAAACCGACACAGGUAGUCAAGAUGAGAAUUCUAAGGUGAGCGAGCGAACUCUCGUUAAGGAACUCGGCAAAAUGACCCCGUAACUUCGGGAGAAGGGGUGCUCUUUAGGGUUAACGCCCAGAAGAGCCGCAGUGAAUAGGCCCAAGCGACUGUUUAUCAAAAACACAGGUCUCUGCUAAACCGUAAGGUGAUGUAUAGGGGCUGACGCCUGCCCGGUGCUGGAAGGUUAAGAGGAGUGGUUAGCUUCUGCGAAGCUACGAAUCGAAGCCCCAGUAAACGGCGGCCGUAACUAUAACGGUCCUAAGGUAGCGAAAUUCCUUGUCGGGUAAGUUCCGACCCGCACGAAAGGCGUAACGAUUUGGGCACUGUCUCAACGAGAGACUCGGUGAAAUCAUAGUACCUGUGAAGAUGCAGGUUACCCGCGACAGGACGGAAAGACCCCGUGGAGCUUUACUGUAGCCUGAUAUUGAAAUUCGGCACAGCUUGUACAGGAUAGGUA
rnacentral:rRNA from 1 species